CAGCCGCCACGGUAAUACGUAGGGUGCAAGCGUUAAUCGGAAUUACUGGGCGUAAAGCGUGCGCAGGCGGUUUGUUAAGACAGAUGUGAAAUCCCCGGGCUCAACCUGGGAACUGCAUUUGUGACUGGCAAGCUAGAGUCUGGCAGAGGGGGGUGGAAUUCCGCGUGUAGCAGUGAAAUGCGUAGAUAUGCGGAGGAACACCGAUGGCGAAGGCAGCCCCCUGGGCCAACACUGACGCUCAUGCACGAAAGCGUGGGGAGCAAACAGGAUUAGAUACCCCUGUAGUCCCUGUCUCUUAUAC
rnacentral:rRNA from 1 species